rnacentral:rRNA from 1 species
UACGUAGGGUGCAAGCGUUGUCCGGAAUUACUGGGUGUAAAGGGUCCGCAGGCGGGCAGGAAAGUCAGAGGUGAAAGACUUCGGCUCAACCGAAGAAUUGCCUUUGAUACUUCUUGUCUUGAAUCCGAGAGAGGAUAGUGGAAUUCAUGGUGUAGCGGUGAAAUGCGUAGAGAUCAUGAAGAACACCAGUAGCGAAGGCGGCUAUCUGGCUCGGUAUUGACGCUCAGGGACGAAAGCGUGGGUAGCAAACAGG